rnacentral:tRNA from 1 species
GGUGGGUAUAGCUCAGUGGUAGAGUGCAUGCUUAGCAUGCAUGAGGUCCUGGGUUCAAUCCCCUGUACCUCCA